rnacentral:rRNA from 1 species
UCAAGGCGAAAGGAUGACUUAGUGGCGGACGGGUGAGUAACGCGUGAGCAACCUGCCCUUCGGAGGGGGACAACAGUUGGAAACGACUGCUAAUACCGCAUAACACAUAGCUAUCGCAUGGUAAUUAUGUCAAAGAUUUAUCGCCGAAGGAUGGGCUCGCGUCUGAUUAGAUAGUUGGUGAGGUAACGGCUCACCAAGUCGACGAUCAGUAGCCGGACUGAGAGGUUGAACGGCCACAUUGGGACUGAGAUACGGCCCAGACUCC